UACGUAGGGGGCAAGCGUUGUCCGGAUUUAUUGGGCGUAAAGAGCGUGUAGGCGGCCAGACAGGUCCGUUGUGAAAACUCGAGGCUCAACCUCGAGACGUCGAUGGAAAACCGUCUGGCUAGAGUCCGGAAGAGGAGAGUGGAAUUCCUGGUGUAGCGGUGAAAUGCGCAGAUAUCAGGAAGAACACCCGUGGCGAAGGCGGCUCUCUGGGACGGUACUGACGCUGAGGAGCGAAAGCGUGGGUAGCAAACAGG
rnacentral:rRNA from 1 species